GUCUACAGCCAUACCACCCUGAACGUGCCGGGUCGUGUCUGAUUUCAGAAGCUAAGCAGGGUCAGGCCUGGUUAGUACUUGGAUGGGAGACCGUCUGUGUAUAAUGGGUGCCAUAGGCU
rnacentral:rRNA from 1 species